rnacentral:tRNA from 1 species
GCCCCUGUGGUGGAAUGGUAGACACGGUAGACUCAAAAUCUGCUGUCUUCGUGACGUGCCGGUUCGAAUCCGGCCAGGGGUACCA